UUUUGGACAAUGGGCCCAAGCCUGAUCCAGCCAUGCCGCGUGAGUGAAGAAGGCCUUCGGGUUGUAAAGCUCUUUCGGCGGGGACGAAACGGUUCGUGCUAAUACCACGGGCUACUGACGGUAUCCGCAGAAGAAGCACCGGCUAACUACGUGCCAGCAGCCGCGGUAAUACGUAGGGUGCAGGCGUUAAUCGGAAUUACUGGGCGUAAAGCGUGCGCAGGCGGUUUGUUAAGACAGGUGUGAAAUCCCCGGGCUUAACCUGGGAAUUGCGCUUGUAACUGGCAGACUGGAGUGUGGCAGAGGGGGGUGGAAUUCCAAGUGUAGCAGUGAAAUGCGUAGAUAUUUGGAGGAACAUCAAUGGCGAAGGCAGCUUCCUGAAUAAUACGACACUGAGGUGCGAAA
rnacentral:rRNA from 1 species